UCCAACAACAGCUCAACUGCACAGGGAGGAGGAUCGAACUGGUCCCUCUCUCCCUCCGCCGAAGGAGCCGACCCGGCAUAGGAAGGUGCCGAUUUCAGUGUCUGCUGUGUUACAGUGGUGUCUUUGCUGAGUUUGAAACUGGAUACUCCAAGCAAGUAGAUACCUUUUCUUCAGAUAUGUCAGGAAAAAAAAACUGAAACUACUUCAGCAAAAAUAGCCUUUCUGCCAUCUUCAUCAAGUUAACGUGGAAAACUGAUAUUUAUUCAUGAAGGAGCUUGAUUAAACUGUUCCACUUUAUCAUUUUACAUCUUGAUACAAUAAUAUGGAUACAGGUUAUUUUCUUGCAAUACUUCUCACCUUUUUUGCAAUUGUUUUUUUGCUUGGCUGCCUUCUCCACGAGAUUAUAUGCUUCAUGAGGACAGUUUUUCUCAUCAUUAUAUCCUCAAUACAAUAAUGUUUUGGAAGAAAAUGAAUAAAGAAAGUCCAUGCAAAAAAGUCAUCUGGUCUAUGUCACAGGAAUAGUGAAUUCUUAUCAGGUUAAUCAAAUAUGAGUUGCAUUACUCAAGAGUUUUUAAUAACCAGUGGUUGUAAAUUGAAUUUUUAUCAUGUAUUGGUGUAAAUGUAAUGUUGAAUGUAGUUGUAAGUUUCAGGAUAGGAAUUAGUGUUCAGCCUGCAGUAGGUAACUGCUACUUUUGUCAUUCUUUGGGUAACUCUUAGCCAGCUUGGGUCUGAGAAAUUGCCCCCUCCUUUGCACUCAGCCCUGUCCUUGUUCUAGGAGUCUCCUCCCCGAGAUGCAGUGGGUCUAGCAUUAGCAUGUGAUCUUCUGUUCCUCCAGGGAACAGCCCCCGCUGCGGUCAUGAGGCUUUGUUCAUCCAUACACUCAGCUGGUCUUGUCAGAGGAGCCGCUGAGUGAAAGGCUGUCCUUUACUUUGGGGAGAAACGUGCGAGACCUGUGGGGCUCCUACACUGAAGCCACACUGGGAAAGGUGGGAGAAAGAGAAAGAGACAGAGGGUCCUGAUGACACCAUUAGAGGCUUUAAAUCACCCACAACUUUAUUUUUCUGUCAUUUGCCACAAAAAUAACACUAGUACAGAGACUAAGUUAUGUUACUUAGUUUUUAUAUUUUCAAAAUAAAGGGCUCAUUUAGAUGGCUCUUAGUGGAAGUGAAGUUUGGUAGGUCUUGGUGUUAUCAGGAAAUGUGUUGUAUUAUUGGACUAAAAUCUGCUGACCUAGAUACAAUGUUCCAGCUUCUGAAGCUACAGAAAACUCAAAUUCAUGUAAUCUUUCUUCCAUCUGACAACUCCAUGUGAAGAGAGAACUUAGGUCUCAUUUUACUCAUUCUUUCAUUCAAUAAAUAUUUACUGAGUGCCUACUA